rnacentral:rRNA from 1 species
AGUGAACGCUGGCGGUAUGCCUAACACAUGCAAGUCGAACGGCAGCACAGUAAGAGCUUGCUCUUACGGGUGGCGAGUGGCGGACGGGUGAGGAAUACAUCGGAAUCUUCUUUUUCGUGGGGGAUAACGUAGCGAAACUUACGCUCAUACCGCAUCCGACCUACGUGUGAAAGCAGGGGAUCUUCGGACCUUGUGCGAUUGAAUGAUCCGAUGUCGGAUUAGCUAGUUGGCGGGGUAAAGACCAACCAAGGCGACGAUCCGUAGCUGGUGUGAGAGGAUGAGCACCCACACUAGAAGUGAGACACGGUCAAGGUUCCUAAGGGAGGCAGCAGAGGCGAACAUUAGACAAUGGGGGCAAGCAUGAUACAGCCAUAGCGCGUGUGAGAAGAAGGCCUUCGGUUUGUAAAGCCGUUUUGUUGGGAAAGAAAAGCAGCAGGCUAAUACCCCGCUGUUGUGACGGUACCCAAAGAAUAAGCACCGGCUAACUUCGUG